rnacentral:rRNA from 1 species
UGGGGAAUUUUGGACAAUGGGCGAAAGCCUGAUCCAGCAAUGCCGCGUGUGUGAAGAAGGCCUUCGGGUUGUAAAGCACUUUUGUCCGGAAAGAAAUCCUUGGCUCUAAUACAGUCGGGGGAUGACGGUACCGGAAGAAUAAGCACCGGCUAACUACGUGCCAGCAGCCGCGGUAAUACGUAGGGUGCAAGCGUUAAUCGGAAUUACUGGGCGUAAAGCGUGCGCAGGCGGUUUGCUAAGACCGACGUGAAAUCCCCGGGCUCAACCUGGGAACUGCAUUGGUGACUGGCAGGCUAGAGUAUGGCAGAGGGGGGUAGAAUUCCACGUGUAGCAGUGAAAAUGCGUAGAGAUGUGGAGGAAUACCGAUGGCGAAGGCAGCCCCCUGGGCCAAAUACUGACGCUCAUGCACGAAAAGCGUGGGGGAGCAAAACAGGAUUAGAUACCCUGGUAGUCCACGCCCUAAAACGAUGUCAACUAGUUGUUGGGGAUUCAUUUCCUUAGUAACGUAGCUAACGCGUGAAGUUGACCGCCUGGGGAGUACGGUCGCAAAGAUUAAAAACUUAAAUGAAUUGACGGGGUCAUAGCUGUUUCCU